UUAUUAUAUUUAUUAUUUGGUGAAUAAUUUGGUGGAUAUAGUAAUUUUAAUUUUGUUGGGGCGACAGUGAAAAUUAAUUAACUUUCAUUUAUUAUUAUUCAUUUAUUAAUGUAUUUUUUGAUCCUUUAAUUAUGGAUUAAGAGAUUAAAUUACCUUAGGGAUAACAGCGUAAUUUUUUCGGAGAGUUCAUAUCGAUGAAUAAAGUUUGCGACCUCGAUGUUGGAUUAAAAUUAGUGUUGGGUGCAGCAGC
rnacentral:rRNA from 1 species